rnacentral:misc_RNA from 1 species
CACACCCCAGCACUGGGCUAUACUCACUGUGUUCCAUCCAAGAACUACUCCAUGAACGAAACUUCACUGAGACAACAUGGCAGAAGUUAAUGGAACGUGUUCCGCACCAAAACAACACCAUAGUGACACACUUCCCGAAAACUACCCGACCGUGAUUCAGAAAUACACCUCCUACAGGUGGCGCUUUGGAUAUAUGAUGAUCCUCGGAAUGGUCUCUGUCCAGUGCAUGAAGAACUGCAUGUCAUUCGCUUUAGUAUGCAUGACAAGGGGGGUAACUCUUAACAAGGGAGAGCACUCGAACCAAAGCAAUGCUGGCACCAAUUACACAGCAGCAUUUUCACCUGGAAGCAGCGGAUCGCUAAAUUAUUCACGUGAGGCGUCUACGGCAGAGUUUGACUACAGCAGCCAGAUGCAAGGUCUUCUCAUAUCGUCAACUUACUACAUUGGAAUUAUUUCGCCAAUAUUUGGCAGCAUGGCUUCACGGAGAUUUGGUGCCAAGAGAGUCAUCUGUGCAUGUAUGAUGUUGGGUGGUGUCACGACGAUCGCUGUUCCGGUAGCGGCAAGAAGUCAUGUGUAUCUGGCUGUCAUUUGCAGACUGCUUCUCGGAUUUGCAAUUAACGGCUUGCUGCCUGUAACACUUGACGUGUGGCUGUACUGGGCUCCCACACAAGAAAAGGCACAGCUGGUGGCCUACACCUUCACAGGAUACAACAUAGCAAGUAUUGUGACGUUCUUUAUCUGUGGAUUCCUCUGUCUCACUCCAAUAGACAACGGUUGGCCGUUCAUCUUCUACGUGUUUGGUGGCUGCGCAAUCCUCUGGGGUCUGGCGUGGAUGUAUUGGGGUCAUGACAAACCGGAAAUGCAUCCAAGAAUCUCACAGCAUGAAAAGAUUUAUAUCUUAACGAACAGAACAAACGUCGACAUAGAGCUCAAGGAUAAAAAUGUUCCCUGGAAGGACAUUUUCCGGAGUAAACCCGUGUGGGCAUAUCUGAUUGUCAUCUUUCUGCAUACGUGCAAUAGUAGUAUUUUGGCGAGUUACCUCCCCUUGUAUAUGGCAACCGUGCUCAACUUUGACGUGGAACAGAACGGUGUGCUCUCCUCGCUGCCCUAUGUCACUCGUGUCAUGGGGACUGUGUUUUGGAGCCACGUCAGCAUGAAGCUGGUGAAAAAGAUCUCCGUUACCCACACACGGAAACUUAUACAGACAAUCGGGUUUGCUGUGGCAUCCGUGCUGACCAUUGGUCUGUGCUCUCUGGAGGAUGGUCAGGAGAUCAUCGCCGUUGCCAUCUUCGUAGUGUCCAUGCCGUUCCAGUCGGUGACCGCCGUUGGCUGUUUGCUCAGCCCCGUGGAUAUAGCACCGCAGUAGGGGGUCACAUGAAACAUUUCUUGUUGGGAAGGAUGACUAAUCAAGGAUGAUACAUUCUACUUUUCAUCUGAAAAAGAACGAGGCAUUAAGAAUAUUAAAACAGAACAGGCCCCGAUCAUCCGUCAACUUCUAAGUUCGCUUCCUUUCUAACGGCAUUAGGAGAGGUGUUCAGUUUCGUUGCAUACUCCCUUGCCCCCGUCACUGU